ACUAACUGCCCACCUGGGCUGUCCUAAGCCAAGCUAGAGCCAACCAUUGGCACUUGUGAGACACAGGAAGUGAGGUAGGGAACAGCCUCUGGAAUUUGCUCACUUCCUGUGGAGAGAGUUGGUGUUAGGAGCUUGGACAGGGAGGACCCCCCGCAGACAGCUUUCCUUCAGAUCACUCACGUCAUGAACUCCCUGAAAAUCUAUCCAUGGAUCCCCUAGGCAUUAGGGUUCAUGGAUCACAGGAGGAUGGGGAAGAAGAAACCAUCUGAGGCAAUUAUUUCAUACUUGUCAGAUGAACUAGGAUGAAAACUCUUCAGUAAUAUGGUGAAUAAGGAGCACAGUUAGGCCAAUUGAAUUUUAAAUCCUCUCCCUCCUUUUCUCAAACCUUGAGA
rnacentral:lncRNA from 1 species